CAGCCCAGUGCCGGACCUGCUGCAGAUGCUGGACGUGCUCAGGGCCCGCAGCUGUGCGCUGAAGGCAUCUGCAGAUGCCGGGAAAAAAGCCUUGGCAGGGGUUUGCACGACCCCAGAAAGCCCGGAUGGCACGGCCAUAAGCAACCUAUAUGGGGUAUGGAGUGGCUGCUGGAUCCCAAACCCUAAAGAACAACGAGGAAGGAAGCAACUUGCCAGACUGUGGAAUUGCCAACAGCAAAGGAGCUCCGGACUUCUCUAGGGAUGACAAGGUUGGCCAGAGGCUUUUCCCUUGCAAGAGCAACAAGGUGCAGGAAGUGACUGAAGUAUUGUGACAAGACACAAUUCCAAGAUUUGGGGCUCCAGAACAUCAUCUAUAGCGAUCAAGGUGAAAGAGCAAGCAUCGUGCAGCUACACGUGAGUUAAGAAGACAUCUCAGCCCCAGUGGACUAUUGAGAAGACCGGAGCAUUGAAGGUAAGGAUUUAGAGACAACAUGUGUAGAAUGUGUUCUAUAGGUUGCACGUGUUAAAUAAGACUUGCUUCAGCCUGGCGUGAAAAUACCUAUUUAAACAUGACUAAAGGAACAGUGGUUAGCCUAAAGCUCCCUGAUUGCAGGAUAUGUACAGCCUUACCAAGAGAUGGAAGAAUGGAAAUCCCUCAGUGUGGGACGCCCUCCACCAAUUGGUCACCAUGGGGUGGAGCAGGAAGUAGGCGUAGGUGUGCAAAUAAAAUGGUGACAAUUGGAAGAAGGACCUGAAUUCAGUGUACAGCUAUAGACAGGCCUCAGUGUAAGACCGUUCCUGAGAACUAGAAGGACAUUAUGUAGGAGGAUAUUAGUGCUUCAAUGGAACAGCUCCUCCUCCAGGGAUACUGAGAACCUCUUGGAAAAGGGUGAAGCGGGGAAUAACCCCCUUAUAGACAGGCCCUCUGGGUUCCAUAGUUUUAUGGGAUGGUUUAUUCCUAGCCUAGGAGUAAGGGAAUCAGAAAAGGCAAUUGUCAGUAUAGCAGCUACACUAGAGAAUAUCAAGAACUCAACUAUGGAUGCUAUACUUGGACUGCAGACAGAGGUGUCCUCUCUUCAUCAAGUGGUAUUGCAGAACGGAACGGCUCUUGAUCUCCUGAUGGCCAAAGAAGGAGCGAUUUGCGGAAUCAAACUCUCUAACCCAUUAAGUAAGGUUAAAAGGGCAGAUAUGUUUAUUUCAGUGCUGCGCCACACACCGGGUGCAAGGGUGCAAGGAGUGAUCUGCUCCUCCUAGCUUGCACACCAGAGAGUGGGGUCUCGAUACGUUUAUUAGCCAAGCCAUACACAGUAUUACCAAAAACUCAUUGACAUAUUCAUGACUUUUCCGGGAAUUCAUUCACAUACUGUCCCCCCUCCCCAGGGCAUGCGCAGUAGCUUCCAUUGGAUGAAGGCUCGAUGUCUUCCUCCCCAUUCGGUGGUCGUUUGGGAUGAAGUCAGUUGUCUCCCUCGCCACGUCCUUCCGACCUUUGUCCCAGUCCUGGGCUCUUCUCUUGCCCUGCAUGCCUCAGCAAUUUCCUAUUCUGCUUAUCUUCCCUUUUUUCCUUGCUCUCUUAGGGGCCCCUCUUCCACUGUCUGCAGAGGGCUCCCUUUGUAGAAUAUGCCUGGGCUGACAGAGUGGUUAGACUAAGCAAUAAAUCUCCCUUGAGUUAGCAAAAGGUGAAACUAAGCAAUGCUAUUUGCGACCUCUUUUGAGUUAGCAUAACCAGGCGAUGUUAUGGAUCCCUUACAUCCAGUAUUCUUACAUCUUGUAUUCUUCAGCUUACCAUCUCAAUUCCCCCCUUUUCAUUGCUAGUAGCAAAUUCUUUCGCUAAAUUGCCCCAUUUUGGAAAAGGGAAGACUUAAAACAUCUUCCACUUUCCACUGUUGCAUUGCCUCCUACGGUACUGACCUAAAACCAGGCCAGGACCAAAUGACUGCACGCAUACACCAAUAUGAUGAACAGCAAAAUGGCAUUUAUUACACGUGAACUCUAGCUUAUAUAACCUAUGUGCUUCGUCUACGCCCCUAAGGCACGUGCCACACAUCAAUCAUAGAGCAGGGAGAGGGCCUAUCGCGUCACAUCCCAUGGGGGGGUCUCUCAGUCUCGCAGUUGCUGACAACAUUCCACUUUCUGCCUUAGUUUAUGCUUUUUCCAUUCUUCAUAACUAUUCUCUGGUCCAGAUGUUUUACAGAGCCAUAGUUCACACCUUGUUGCAAUGCACGUCAAUGUGAGACAAAAAGCUUCUUGAGCCAAGCGAAGUUAGGUAGCUGACUAGUAAGCGUUUCCUGUAUCCCCUUUGGUCCCUCCAUAACUGGGUUAGUCUCUAUUUUGUCAUGAGCUUCCUAUUUAUCGAUUUUGAGUGGUCCAGAAGAUUAAAGCAGCACAUCGUACUGAGAUCCUCACAACCGUGCCCCUUCAUUUAAUCAGUCCAGAUCCCUUACCUCAAUUCCUUUAACCUGUAUACUAUUGGGAGAAAAUAAAGAUGUUCUUGCUUGCACUGGCAAAAUACUCUCGGAGGUAUAAACAAGUUAAAGAUUGUAGCUAUUCAUGCCAGACAGAUCCUCUUGACAUGAUCACAAGACGUCUGGCUUGUACACCUGGCAUGGGUGUCAGCAAAUGCUAUAAAGACCAUUGGCAAGCCCUGCCAAAACUGAGGUGGCUUUGUGGAGGCAAGUGCUCAGGAACCACGGGUGCGUGUGUGACAGAGGAGCAAGCGGCGGAUUGCCAAGUGACAGAAGAACCCCUCAACUGUACAUGGAACCUGCUUAACGUUCCCCUGACUGAGAGCAGACAGAGGAGACGACCUGCACAGAAGGAGGUGAGCGCCAACAUGGAGCUGCAUCUCACACAGGAAUGGUUCCACAGCAGCUGGGGGCAGGACGCAGCGGGCGGCACAUCGCUGAGCGGCUGAUGACAGAGUACUGUGCUGAGAUGGAGGCCCCUGACGGCUCCUUCCUGGUCAGGGAAAGCGAGACUUACGCUGGGGAAUAGGUUCUGUCCUUCUGGCACCGUGGGAAGGGGCGGCAUUGCUGCAUAUACUGGCGACAGGACGCUACCAGUCAGUUCUUCUUCCUGACUGACACCGGGUAUUUGCCAGCCUGUACGACCUCAUCGCCUACUAUUGGGAGACGCCGCUGAGGUCCCAUGGACUUGAGAUAUGGCUGGCUGAGCCGGUGCCUCGGUCCAACACACACACCAACGCAGACCGGGUGCCGUGGGACGGCCCCAGAGGGACAAGUCCAGAUCCAGCGCCAUCUACUUCAGGGUAGGAGGGAAGGCAUGGCAGGA